UUGACGGAAGUGACAAGAAAUUUGGGACUCCCUGAUCCGGUCUAUGGAGUUUAGAUGGUAGAGGGAUGACAUGUUAAAUCUUUUGUGGAGGUAACUGUGAAUAGGAGAGACCCACCCCAUGAAGUAACAAGAACUGUGGGUUCUCUUGAGGUAGAACAAGUAAAAUCUGAGUAAGCAGCAAUUUAUGCUUUUAAUUCUCUAAAAUGCCAAUACCACUUUAAAGUGCGAGAUGUUAACUUUUCAGAUCGAGAGUAUUAUAAAUAUUCUUUUCAAAGAGUAAGCACUAAGUACUAUGCUGUAACAGUGGAACUUUAACAAAUGAGAUGGGACUUUGAGAGACUGAAAGAGAUAAAUCAAAGGCAUUUGAUGGAUGUUUUGCUCUUCAGCAUCAGGUAAAUAGGUUGAGACAAGGGCUCCCUCCAUAUGUAGAAUCAUCAUCUGGAGAAAAUUAAAGUAGAGG
rnacentral:lncRNA from 1 species